rnacentral:rRNA from 1 species
UGGUACCGUCAUCAGGCAGAAAUAUUUUCCCUGCCUUUAUUCUUCCCAUCUGACAGAGCUUUACGAUCCGAAAACCUUCAUCACUCACACGGCGUCACUGCGUCAGGGUUUCCCCCAUUGCGCAAUAUUCCCC